rnacentral:rRNA from 1 species
GACGAACGCUGGCGGCGUGCUUAACACAUGCAAGUCGAACGGAAAGGCCUGCUUUCCCUUGUGGAUUGCGGGUACUCGCGUGGCGAACGGGUGAGUAACACGUGAGUGAUCUGCCCUCAACUUGGGUAUAAGCCGGGGAAACUGGGUCUAAUUCCAGAUAGGACUGCAGGGUGGUGCCGGUGGUGGGAAACGAGUUUCUAGUGGUUGGGGAUGAGCUUGUGGCGUAUGAGCUUGUUGGUUGGGUAAUGGCCUGCCAAGGGUGCGACGGGUAGCCGGCCUGGGAGGGUGGACGGCAACAUGGGGACUGAGACACGGCCCAGACUCCUACGGGAGGCAGCAGGGGGGAAUAGUGCACAAUGGGCGGAAGCCUGAUGCAGCGACGCCGCGUGGGGGAUGACGGCAUUCGGGUUGUAAACUCCUUUCGACCGCGAGGAAGCCACCUGGUUGGAAGGGUGGUGACGGUAGUGGUAGAAGAAGCACCGGCUAACUACGUG